rnacentral:tRNA from 1 species
GUCCUUGUAGCUUAAUAUUAAAGCAUAGCACUGAAGAUGCUAAGAUGGCUACCUACAUUCCCAAGGACA